rnacentral:rRNA from 1 species
AGUGAACGCUGGCGGUAGGCCUAACACAUGCAAGUCGAACGGCAGCACAGUAAGAGCUUGCUCUUACGGGUGGCGAGUGGCGGACGGGUGAGGAAUACAUCGGAAUCUACUUUUUCGUGGGGGAUAACGUAGGGAAACUUACGCUAAUACCGCAUACGACCUACGUGUGAAAGCAGGGGAUCUUUGGACCUUGCGCGAUUGAAUGAGCCGAUGUCGGAUUAGCUAGUUGGCGGGGUAAAGGCCCACCAAGGCGACGAUCCGUAGCUGGUCUGAGAGGAUGAUCAGCCACACUGGAACUGAGACACGGUCCAGACUCCUACGGGAGGCAGCAGUGGGGAAUAUUGGACAAUGGGCGCAAGCCUGAUCCAGCCAUACCGCGUGGGUGAAGAAGGCCUUCGGGUUGUAAAGCCCUUUUGUUGGGAAAGAAAAGCAGCAGGUUAAUACCCCGCUGUUCUGACGGUACCCAAAGAAUAAGCACCGGCUAACUUCGUG